GCCAUUUCACCCGCUGACAGGAGCGGCUGCCCCGCCCCCGAGGCCCAGGCAACCAAUUCGCCGCCCCCAGGCACCCUGGCUCCGCCCACCGCCCAGGAGUGACGGGGAGGCGGACCAAUCCGCGGCCAUUCCGUGAGGGGGGCCCUGGCUACGGCCAGAAGGUUGCCGCCUCUAAGGAGAGAAGCAAAUUGAAAUUAGGAAAGCAGUGAAGGACGGGCGGCUUUGCCUAUCGACGUGUGGGAUCCUGUUGAGCAACACCUGGCGGCACCAAUGACGAGGAGAGGGGGGUGUGUCUCUGAGGGAAGGCUGCGGCUCUGAAGAACCCGGGACGGAGGCAGCCGAGCGUUUGGCCCUAAGCCCCGCCCAGAGCCGGGCUUUCUGCCCAAUAAUGAGCCGUCCUGAGCCGUCCAUUAUUAUCUGCCCCUCAAAUCUCGGCCUUGGCAACUGUUGGGGCUCUCUCAAGAAGAUUGACACCGAGGGAGCCAAUAACGCUGAAGGAAGGCGGUGCAGUAACUCUCCCUGACCAAUGGGGUCGCGAGAUUGGUUUGAGGUAUAUAGCACUCACCAAGCCUAAUAUCACCUGAUCACUUCCUGGAGCUCUACAAGAUGAUCAAAUUGUUGUGUUGGAACAAUUCAUGUGGCAAAAAACUAAAGACAUCCUUUGACUAGCAGCCAGCUAGAAACUGAGGCCCUUACUCCAACAGGAACUGGAUGCAACAAAAAACCAUGUGAGUGAGCUUGUAAAUAAAUCAUUCCCCAGUUGAGCUUUCAGAUAAAAUCCUAAUCCUGACCAUUCCCUUGACUGCAGCCUCAUGAAACACUCUAGGCAAAGGAUCUGCUAAGUCAUGUCUAGAUUUCUGACCCACAA